GACGAACCGAGCGAACGUUGUUCGGAAUCACUGGGCUUAAAGGGCGCGUAGGCGGGCUGCCGCGUCCGGGGUGAAAUCCUCCGGCUCAACCGGGGAACUGCAUCUGAUACUGGAUGGCUUGAGAUUGGGAGAGGGAUGCGGAAUUCCAGGUGUAGCGGUGAAAUGCGUAGAUAUCUGGAGGAACACCGGUGGCGAAGGCGGCAUCCUGGACCAACACUGACGCUGAGGAGCGAAAGCCAGGGGAGCAAACGGG
rnacentral:rRNA from 1 species